UACGUAGGGUGCGAGCGUUAAUCGGAAUUACUGGGCGUAAAGCGUGCGCAGGCGGCGCGUUAAGACAGGUGUGAAAGCCCCGAACUUAACUUGGGAAUUGCGCUUGUGACUGGCGUGCUGGAGUGUGGCAGAGGGAGGUGGAAUUCCACGUGUAGCAGUGAAAUGCGUAGAGAUGUGGAGGAACACCGAUGGCGAAGGCAGCCUCCUGGGCCAGCACUGACGCUCAUGCACGAAAGCGUGGGGAGCGAACAGG
rnacentral:rRNA from 1 species